GCAACUCGCCUACAUGAAGUUGGAAUUGCUAGUAAUCAUAGGUCAGCAUACUAUGGUGAAUACGUUCCCGGGCCUUGUACACACCGCCCGUCACACCAUGAGAGUUGGGAAUACCCGAAGCCCAUGUCAAAGUGGUCGAAGGUAGGCUUGAUGAUUGGGGUGAAGUCGUAACAAGGUAUC
rnacentral:rRNA from 1 species